rnacentral:rRNA from 1 species
AAAUUGAAGAGUUUGAUCAUGGCUCAGAUUGAACGCUGGCGGCAGGCCUAACACAUGCAAGUCGAACGGUAACAGGAAGCAGCUUGCUGCUUCGCUGACGAGUGGCGGACGGGUGAGUAAUGUCUGGGAAACUGCCUGAUGGAGGGGGAUAACUACUGGAAACGGUAGCUAAUACCGCAUAACGUCGCAAGACCAAAGAGGGGGACCUUCGGGCCUCUUGCCAUCGGAUGUGCCCAGAUGGGAUUAGCUUGUUGGUGGGGUAACGGCUCACCAAGGCGACGAUCCCUAGCUGGUCUGAGAGGAUGACCAGCCACACUGGAACUGAGACACGGUCCAGACUCCUACGGGAGGCAGCAGUGGGGAAUAUUGCACAAUGGGCGCAAGCCUGAUGCAGCCAUGCC